GCGACCGUGGUGUAGCGGUUAUCAUAGCUGCCUUCCAAGCAGUUGAUCUGAAUUCAACUCCCGGUGGUCGUA
rfam:Schistosoma rodhaini strain Burundi genome assembly, scaffold: SROB_scaffold0000049